ensembl:lncRNA
AAAAGAUUUAAGUGCCUUUGAAUGAGGUAUGGUAGUAGGGGCCAGGCGGUAGUAGUAGUAGUAUGGUAGUAGGGGCCAGGCGGUAGUAGUAGUAUGGUAGUAGGGGCCAGGCGGUAGUAGUAGUAUGGUAGUAGGGGCCAGGCGGUAGUAGUAGUAUGGUAGUAGUAGUAGUAUGGUAGUAGUAGGGGCCAGGCGGUAGUAGUAGUAGUAUGGUAGUAGGGGCCAGGCGGUAGUAGUAGUAUGGUAGUAGGGGCCAGGCGGUAGUAGUAGUAUGGUAGUAGGGGCCAGGCGGUAGUAGUAGUAUGGUAGUAGGGGCCAGGCGGUAGUAGUAGUAGUAUGGGCCAGGCGGUAGUAGUAUGGUAGUAGGGGCCAGGCGGUAGUAGUAUGGUAGUAGGGGCCAGGCGGUAGUAGUAUGGUAGUAGGGGCCAGGCGGUAGUAGUAUUAGUAGGG